rnacentral:rRNA from 1 species
UGAGGAAUAUUGGGCAAUGCCCGCAAGGGUGACCCAGCAACGCCGCGUGGAGGAUGAAUGUCGUAAGAUUGUAAACUCCUGUUAGAGGGGAAGAAUAGUACCGGUUGGACCGGUAUAUGACUGUACCCUCAGAGAAAGCCCCGGCUAACUACGUGCCAGCAGCCGCGGUAAUACGUAGGGGGCAAGCGUUGUCCGGAUUUACUGGGUGUAAAGGGCGCGCAGGCGGGAUAAAAAGUCAGUGGUGAAAUCCUUCAGCUUAACUGUAGAACUGCCUUUGAUACUUUUAUUCUUGAGUUCGGGAGAGAGAGACGGAAUUCCAGGUGUAGUGGUGAAAUACGUAGAUAUCUGGAAGAACACCAGUUGCGAAGGCGGUCUCUUGGUCCGACACUGACGCUGAGGCGCGAAAGCGUGGGGAGCAAACA